CCUACGGGAGGCAGCAGUGGGGGAUAUUGCACAAUGGGCGGAACCCUGAUGCAGCGACGCCGCGUGGGUGAAGAAGCGCCUCGGCGCGUAAAGCCCUGUCAGCAGGGAAGAAAAUGACGGUACCUGAAGAAGAAGCCCCGGCUAACUACGUGCCAGCAGCCGCGGGAAUACGUAGGGGGCAAGCGUUAUCCGGAUUUACUGGGUGUAAAGGGGGCGCAGACGGCGAUGCAAGCCAGGAGUGAAAGCCCGGGGCCCAACCCCGGGACUGCUCUUGGAACUGCGUGGCUGGAGUGCAGGAGGGGCAGGCGGAAUUCCUGGUGUAGCGGUGAAAUGCGUAGAUAUCAGGAGGAACACCGGUGGCGAAGGCGGCCUGCUGGACUGCAACUGACGUUGAGGCCCGAAAGCGUGGGGAGCAAACAGGAUUAGAUACCCCGGUAGUC
rnacentral:rRNA from 1 species